GGAGGGUUGGCAUGAAUGGUAUGGCGCUGGUUUCGAAAACCAGUGAGCGAAAGCUCUUACAGGUUCGAGUCCUGUACCCUCCGCUA
rnacentral:tRNA from 1 species